rnacentral:lncRNA from 1 species
CAAGCCUUAGAUUCAAAAGCACUUAAAAUUAUCCCUCCAACAGUCAUACUAUGUGAUGGUUUAUUUUUGGAGGUUCAGUGUUUGUUAUUGAGGAAAAAUAAUCACAAAAAUAUGCUGUGAGCAAUUAGGCAGUAAGGAGUGGCUCAUAUACAUCAUAGGGGCACAUAUAUGUCAUGGGGGCACAUAUAUGUCAUAGGGGCACAUGUAUAUCAUAGGGGUACAUAUAUGUCAUAGGGGCACAUAUAUGUCAAAGGGGCACAUAUAUGUCAUGAGGACACAUGUUUGUUAUGGGGCACAUACCUGUCAUUGGGACACAUAUAUGUCAUGUAUUCAGCACAAAGCAUCCAGCACACUUAGUGGAGACUGGGGCAGUUUGAGAAAUAGUAUUGUUUUUUUU